rnacentral:rRNA from 1 species
GGACGAACGACUGGCGGCGUGCCUAACACAUGCAAGUCGAGCGAGAGAUCCUUCGGGAUGAUCCUAGCGGCGGACGGGUGAGUAACGACGUGGGCAACCUGCCUCAUAGAGAGGAAUAGCCUUCCGAAAGGGAGAUAAUACCUCAUAACAUUGCAGUUUCGCAUGGAACAGCAAUUAGAGGAGCGAUCCGCUAUGAGAUGGGCCCGCGGCGCAUUAGCUAGUUGGUGAGGUAACGGCUCACCAAGGCGACGAUGCGUAGCCGACCUGAGAGGGUGAUCGGCCACAUUGGGACUGAGACACGGCCCAGACUCCUACGGGAGGCAGCAGUGGGGAAUAUUGCACAAUGGGGGGAAACCCUGAUGCAAGCAACGCCGCGUGAGUGAUGACGGCCUUCGGGUUGUAAAGCUCUGUCUUCAGGGACGAUAAUGACGGUACCUGAGGAGGAAGCCACGGCUAACUACGUGCCAGCAGCCGC